rnacentral:rRNA from 1 species
AUUGAACGCUGGCGGCAUGCUUUACACAUGCAAGUCGAACGGCAGCGCGGGCUUCGGCCUGGCGGCGAGUGGCGAACGGGUGAGUAAUACAUCGGAGCGUGCCCAGUAGUGGGGGAUAGCUCGGCGAAAGCCGGAUUAAUACCGCAUACGACCUGAGGGUGAAAGCGGGGGAUCUUCGGACCUCGCGCUAUUGGAGCGGCCGAUGGCAGAUUAGCUAGUUGGUGGGGUAAAGGCCUACCAAGGCGACAAUCUGUAGCUGGUCUGAGAGGACGACCAGCCACACUGGGACUGAGACACGGCCCAGACUCCUACGGGAGGCAGCAGUGGGGAAUUUUGGACAAUGGGCGAAAGCCUGAUCCAGCAAUGCCGCGUGUGUGAUGAAGGCCUUCGGGUUGUAAAGCACUUUUGGCGGGAACGAAAAGGACUGUGCCAAUACCACGGUUCGAUGACGGUACCCGCAGAAUAAGCACCGGCUAACUACGUG